rnacentral:rRNA from 1 species
AUUGAACGCUGGCGGCAUGCUUUACACAUGCAAGUCGGACGGCAGCACAGAGAAGCUUGCUUCUUGGGUGGCGAGUGGCGCACGGGUGAGUAAUAUAUCGGAACGUACCGAGUAAUGGGGGAUAACUAAUCGAAAGAUUAGCUAAUACCGCAUAUUCUCUGAGGAGGAAAGCAGGGGACCUUCGGGCCUUGCGUUAUUCGAGCGGCCGAUAUCUGAUUAGCUAGUUGGUGGGGUAAAGGCCUACCAAGGCGACGAUCAGUAGCGGGUCUGAGAGGAUGAUCCGCCACACUGGAACUGAGACACGGCCCAGACUCCUACGGGAGGCAGCAGUGGGGAAUUUUGGACAAUGGGCGCAAGCCUGAUCCAGCCAUGCCGCGUGUCUGAAGAAGGCCUUCGGGUUGUAAAGGACUUUUGUCAGGGAAGAAAAGGCUGUUGCUAAUAUCAAGAGCUGAUGACGGUACCUGAAGAAUAAGCACCGGCUAACUACGUG